rnacentral:lncRNA from 13 species
GCGCCGGGGGCGGCUGCGGGGAGCGCACGGGCUGGGCGGGAGGGGACCGGAUCGUGGCAGUGGCUGGAGCGGCGGAAGCCUGGAGCGGGCCACACUGCCUUGUCCCUCUGACACUGGAACUAUCAGGCAAGUGAACUCAGCUGUCCGGCGCUGCGAACUUUAUACAGUUCUCUGGAGCCCCUCCCGGGCCCUAACGGGGUGAGGUCAAGAGUGCCCAGAGUUUCAUAAUUGGCCCGAGGAGGAGUGACAGGAGGACUGUCCGGAAGUCAUCCUCCCUCUUUGGAGCACCUGAGUGUAGUGGCUGAGGAAUGAAAAAAUGUCCUUCUGAUUGGCUUGGGACUACUCCCCAAACUUUUCCAUCUCCUUCUUCGAGGACCUAAGAACUAUGAAUCAAUUCAGCAGUACUCAUUUGAAUGGGAAUAGUACAUACUUGAAUAGAAAAUGGAAUCUAAUGGAUGGUAGGUAACUUCUUACUGCAUUCCCCUGUGGGACCUAAGAACUGUGAGUCAAUUCGACAGUACUCAUUUAAAUGUAAAGGAGGUGGGUGUUUCCAAGAGGAAGCAUAGGCACCAAUAGAAGGUGGAACAAUGACGUCAAAACAAUAGGAAUGAAGGAAAAGAUGUGGCAGUAAUGAGAUCACCAGUCACCUUUCAGGAUAAAGUUCAGAAGCAUAGAGAGGAGAGAAGUCAAAUUGCAGAGAUAUCUGCUGUACCGAGGUCUCUGGAAGCUCUGCGAAAUCCUUCACCUUCCAAAAUCACUGGUCAAUAAAAUAUAUUUAGAAGGAAAAAAAUAAAUCAAUCUCAAUAGUAAAACA